rnacentral:rRNA from 1 species
CACGCAGGCGGUCUAUCAAGUCGGAUGUGAAAUCCCCGGGCUCAACCUGGGAACUGCAUUCGAAACUGGCAGGCUAGAGUCUUGUAGAGGGGGGUAGAAUUCCAGGUGUAGCGGUGAAGUGCGUAGAGAUCUGGAGGAAUACCGGUGGCGAAGGCGGCCCCCUGGACAAAGACUGACGCUCAGGUGCGAAAGCGUGGGGAGCAAACA